AAUAUUAGUUAAGGACUUUAAACCCAAAGAAUUUGGCGGUAUCUUAUUCCAUUCAGAGGAACCUAUCCCAUAAUUGAUAAUACACGAUUAACUUUACUUAAUUUAUUUGUUUGUAUAUUUCCGUUAUCAGAAUAUCUUUUUAGAGUUAAAAUUUUCUAAAUUUAUAAUUGUAAAGUAUUUCAGGUCAAGAUGCAGCUUAUAAUUAAGAGGAGGUGGGUUACAAUAAAUUAAAUUUAAACGGAUUUAAUAAUAAAUAUUAUUAAUGAAGGUGGGUUUGAUAGUAAUUUAAUUUAUUUAAUUUAUUUGAUAUUGGCUCUAAGGUGUGU
rnacentral:rRNA from 1 species